rnacentral:rRNA from 1 species
GAUGAACGCUGGCGGCGUGCCUAAUACAUGCAAGUCGAGCGAAGCGGGGACGGGUGAGUAACACGUGGAUAACCUCCUAUAAGACUGGGAUAACUUCGGGAAACAGGAGCUAAACCGGCUACUUAUAGAUGGAUCCUAGCUGCAUUAGCUAGUUGGUAAGGUAACGGCUUACAAAGGCAACGAUGCUGAACCGACCUGCGAGGGGUAUCGGCCACACUGGAACUGAGAAACGGUCCAGACUCCUACGGGAGGAAGCAUUAGGGAAUCUUCCGCAAUGGGCGAAAGCCUGACGGAGCAACGCCGCGUUAGUGAUGAAGGUCUGCGGAUCGUAAAACUCUGUUAUUAGGGAAGCGGUACCUAAUCAGAAAGCCACGGCUAACUACGUGCCAGCAGCCGCGGUAAUAC